GUGAACCUGCGGAGGGAUCAUUACACAAAUAUGAAGGCGGGCUGGAAUCUCUCGGGGUUACAGCCUUGCUGAAUUAUUCACCCUUGUCUUUUGCGUACUUCUUGUUUCCUUGGUGGGUUCGCCCACCACUAGGACAAACAUAAACCUUUUGUAAUUGCAAUCAGCGUCAGUAACAAAUUAAUAAUUACAACUUUCAACAACGGAUCUCUUGGUUCUGGCAUCGAUGAAGAACGCAGCGAAAUGCGAUAAGUAGUGUGAAUUGCAGAAUUCAGUGAAUCAUCGAAUCUUUGAACGCACAUUGCGCCCUUUGGUAUUCCAAAGGGCAUGCCUGUUCGAGCGUCAUUUGUACCCUCAAGCUUUGCUUGGUGUUGGGCGUCUUGUCUCUAGCUUUGCUGGAGACUCGCCUUAAAGUAAUUGGCAGCCGGCCUACUGGUUUCGGAGCGCAGCACAAGUCGCACUCUCUAUCAGCAAAGGUCUAGCAUCCAUUAAGCCUUUUUCAACUUUGACCUCGGAUCAGUAGAUC
rnacentral:rRNA from 1 species